rnacentral:rRNA from 1 species
UACGGAGGGGGCUAGCGUUGUUCGGAAUUACUGGGCGUAAAGCGCACGUAGGCGGCUUUGUAAGUUAGAGGUGAAAGCCCGGAGCUCAACUCCGGAAUUGCCUUUAAGACUGCAUCGCUAGAAUUGUGGAGAGGUAAGUGGAAUUCCGAGUGUAGAGGUGAAAUUCGUAGAUAUUCGGAAGAACACCAGUGGCGAAGGCGACACACUGGCUCACUACUGACGCUGAGGCGCGAAAGCGUGGGGAGCGAACAGG